GCCUGGAAUGGCCUAUGUCGCACUCAGCCGCACAACCUCACUUAAAGGACUGUACAUCACAGACUUUGAUGAAAGGAAAAUCUAUGCUGAUCCUGCCAUCACAGAUGCACUCAAAAAUAUGAGACAUGCAUCAUUUGAGAAUGCAAGACCACUGUUGCAAUUCUUAAAAUCAGUUGUUCCCACAGUCCCCCGUUGACAAUUAUCCAUCACAAUGCACAAGGUCUCCCAACUCACAUGGAGGACAUGAGAUGCCACCAUGAACUCAGCCUUGCUGAUGUUUUAUGCAUAACAGAAACUCACUUGUCUGGAUCAUCAGUUUCUCCCCGCUUCCAGCUGGAACAGUACAACAUGGCCACACGCAACAGACACGUCUCUUACACAAACCAUACAGACAUGGCAAAGGUAAAUGGCGGUGGAGUUGCAAUGUACUACAAAACAGUUCUUAUAGCAGAGUCUCGAAAAUACCUGCAAAAUGUGACUGACCUUGAAUUUGUUGUUAUCAAGGUUGAAUCGCCAGUCACAGCUUUGAUAGCAACUGUAUACAGGCCACCAAAUUACUGCCACGUGAGGUUUUUACCACAAAUGCAAUGUCUUUUGGACUCAUUGGAAAUGAUGAAUUGCCAACCAAUUAUUGUUUGUGGAGAUUUCAAUGAGGACCUUAUGAGCAGAGGAAAAAAACCCAUCCAAGAACUGUUUCAGUCAAGAGGAUAUGCACAACUUAUUACUGCUGCAACUACCGAAAAACACACAUUGAUUGAUCACCUUUACAUAUCACAGCCAUACGCCUGCCUCCAAUCAGGUGUUCUGAAUACAUAUCACAGUUAUCACAACCCCAUUUAUUGUGUAAUUCACUAACACAAAAUGACUGCAAGGUUGUGAGGGAUAUGGACUUGCCAAGUGAUCUUAGUGUCUUUGCAACUGAGCACACUCUACCACCAACAAGGACAGCUCACCAGUGGGAGCUGAUAGAUAAGACUGCUCUCAUCCAUUGAAGAGCUGACCAGAAACGUGAACAGAGAGACUGCAAUUGCACCUGAUGGGAUCCCUGCCAUAACAGAUGUGUUCUGUCCAGUGAAGGCAGUGGAGAAGCCCUACACUGAUCUUGAAACUGUGCCACGCUAGUAGAGACCGGCUACAAGGAUGGGCAGCUGUUUUCGCAAAGUCAGCCAACCACUUGCUUCCAAAUGACCCUUAUCCAGAAGUAUCCGUGAGUGCCUCAUCAACAGAAACUAAAGUGGAGACCUACCUCUCAGAGAAAAACGCACACAUAAGAAAAGCCGACCCACUUCAGUACUGGAAUGAACAUCCUAAUCGGUUUCCCUCUAUGGCUGCUGUUGCGAUCCCAGUGUGCCCCCUGUAGCUCUGUGGACAGUUUUGGAUUUGUUUACAUCUCACCCAACCGCUCAUGGCAGAUGGCUGCACCCCUCUAAGCCUGGUUCUGCCGGAGGUUUCUUCCUGUUAAAAGGGAGUUUGUCUGAACACACUCUACCACCAACAAGGACAGCUCACCAGUGGGAACUGAUAGAUAAGACUGCUGAUGUGCUCUCAUCCAUUGAAGAGCUGACCAGAAACGUGAACAGAAAGACUGCACCUGAUGGGAUCCCUGCCAUAACGGAUGUGUUCUGUCCAGUGAAGGCAGUGGAGAAGCCCUACACUGAUCUUGAAACUGUGCCACGCUAGUAGAGACCGGCUACAAGGAUGGGCAGCUGUUUUCGCAAAGUCAG